ensembl:lncRNA
GUAGAGACCAGACCAGACCAUGUGAGUCAGUGGGGAGAUCCAUGUAGAGACCAGGCCAGACCAUGUGACUCAGUGGGGAGAUUCAGGUAGAGACCAGACCAGACCAGACCAGACCAUGUGACUCAGUGGGGAGAUUCAGGUAGAGACCAGGACAGACCAUGUGACUCAGUGGGGAGAUUCAGGUAGAGACCAGACCAGACUAUGUGACUCAGUGGGGAGAUUCGGGUAGAGACCAGACCAGACCAUGUGACACAGUGGGGAGAUUCAGGUAGAGACCAGACCAGACCAUGUGACUCAGUGGGGAGAUUCAGGUAGAGACCAGACCAGGCCAGACCAUGUGACUCAGUGGGGAGAUUCAGGUAGAGACCAGGCCAGACCAUGUGACUCAGUGGGGAGAUUCAGUUAGAGACCAGGCCAGACCAUGUGACUCAGUGGGGAGAUUCAGGUAGAGACCAGGCCAGACCACGUGACUCAGUGGGGAGAUUCAGGUAGAGACCAAACCAGACCAUGUGACUCAGUGGGGAGAUUCAGGUAGAGACCAGGCCAGACCAUGUGACUCAGUGGGGAGAUUCAGGUAGAGACCAGGCCAGACCAUGUGACUCAGUGGGGAGAUUCAGGUAGAGACCAGACCAGACCAUGUGACUCAGUGGGGAGAUUCAGGUAGAGACCAGACCAGACCAUGUGACUCAGUGGGGAGAUUCAGGUAGAGACCAGACCAUGUGACUCAGUGGGGAGAUUCAGGUAGAGGCCAGACCAUGUGACUCAGUGGGGAGAUUCAGGUAGAGACCAGACCAUGUGAGUCAGUGGGGAGAUUCAGGUAGAGACCAGACCAGACCAGACCAUGUGACUCAGUGGGGAGAUUCAGGUAGAGACCAGACCAGACCAUGUGACUCAGUGGGGAGAUUCAGGUAGAGACCAGACCAGACCAGACCAUGUGAGUCAGUGGGGAGAUUCAGGUAGAGAACAGACCAGACCAUGUGAGUCAGUGGGGAGAUUCAGGUAGAGACCAGACCAGACCAGACCAGACCAUGUGAGUCAGUGGGGAGAUUCAGGUAGAGACCAGACCAGACCAGACCAGACCAUGUGAGUCAGUGGGGAGAUUCAGGUAGAGACCAGACCAUGUGAGUCAGUGGGGAGAUUCAGGUAGAGACCAGACCAGACACCAGACACGACUUAAAGUGGAUUGUUUGUUAAAAGUCCCCCAGAUAGAACAGGGAGCAACAGCAACAUAUUCUCUAGAUAGAACAGGGAGAACUACCAAUACGUCUUCAGAAACAUGUCACAUGUCUUAAGUAGCACCACUCGUCAGGAGACACG